GAGAAGAAUAGCAGCAAUUCUAGGAAUAGCAAAGCGACCACAUUCUGAAGGUAGGACUUGUGGAGAAUGUGAAUCCAAAGCGAUGGGAAGAUAGACCGCAGGGGGAGGGG